rnacentral:rRNA from 1 species
UGACCUGCUAAAUAGCCAGGUUGACUUUUGUCGGCCGCCGGCUUCUUAGAGGGACUUUUGGCUCAAGCCAAUGGAAGUACGAGGCAAUAACAGGUCUGUGAUGCCCUUAGAUGUCCUGGGCCGCACGCGCGCUACACUGACAGAGCCAGCGAGUACAUCACCUUGGCCGAAAGGUCUGGGUAAUCUUGUUAAACUCUGUCGUGCUGGGGAUAGAGCAUUGCAAUUAUUGCUCUUCAACGAGGAAUGCCUAGUAAGCGCAAGUCAUCAGCUUGCGUUGAUUACGUCCCUGCCCUUUGUACACACCGCCCGUCGCU